UACGUAGGGAGCUAGCGUUGUUCGGAAUUACUGGGCGUAAAGCGCGCGUAGGCGGCUUUGUAAGUUAGAGGUGAAAGCCCGGGGCUCAACCCCGGAACUGCCUUUAAGACUGCAUCGCUUGAAUCCGGGAGAGGUGAGUGGAAUUCCGAGUGUAGAGGUGAAAUUCGUAGAUAUUCGGAAGAACACCGGUGGCGAAGGCGGCUCACUGGACCGGUAUUGACGCUGAUGUGCGAAAGCGUGGGGAGCAAACAGG
rnacentral:rRNA from 1 species